UACCAGCACCCCGAGUGGUCGGGACGAUUAUUGGGCCUAAAGCAUCCGUAACCGGUCCUACAAGUCUUCCGUUAAAUCCACCUGCUUAACAGAUGGGCUGCGGAAGAUACUAUAGGGCUAGGAGGCGGGAGAGGCAAGCGGUACUCAGUGGGUAGGGGUAAAAUCCUCUGAUCCAUUGAAGACCACCAGUGGCGAAGGCGGCUUGCCAGAACGCGCUCGACGGUGAGGGAUGAAAGCUGGGGGAGCAAACCGG
rnacentral:rRNA from 1 species